rnacentral:rRNA from 1 species
GACGAACGCUGGCGGCGUGCCUAAUACAUGCAAGUCGAGCGGACGAAUCGAAAGCUUGCUUUUGAUUCGUUAGCGGCGGACGGGUGAGUAACACGUGGGCAACCUGCCCUGUAGACGGGGAUAACACCGAGAAAUCGGUGCUAAUACCGGAUAACACGAAAUGUCGCAUGACGUUUCGUUGAAAGACGGCGCAAGCUGUCGCUACAGGAGGGGCCCGCGGCGCAUUAGCAAGUUGGUGAGGUAACGGCUCACCAAGGCGACGAUGCGUAGCCGACCUGAGAGGGUGAUCGGCCACACUGGGACUGAGACACGGCCCAGACUCCUACGGGAGGCAGCAGUAGGGAAUCUUCCGCAAUGGACGAAAGUCUGACGGAGCAACGCCGCGUGAGCGAAGAAGGCCUUCGGGUCGUAAAGCUCUGUUGUUAGGGAAGAACAAGUAACGCAGUAACUGGCGUUACCGUGACGGUACCUAACGAGAAAGCCACGGCUAACUACGUGCCAGCAGCCGCAGUAA